AUUGAACGCUGGCGGCAUGCCUUGCACAUGCAAGUCGAACGGCAGCACGGGUGCUUGCCCCUGGUGGCGAGUGGCGAACGGGUGAGUAAUACAUCGGAACAUGUCCUGUAGUGGGGGAUAGCCCGGCGAAAGCCGGAUUAAUACCGCAUACGAUCCACGGAUGAAAGCGGGGGACCUUCGGGCCUCGCGCUAUAGGGUUGGCCGAUGGCUGAUUAGCUAGUUGGUGGGGUAAAGGCCUACCAAGGCGACGAUCAGUAGCUGGUCUGAGAGGACGACCAGCCACACUGGGACUGAGACACGGCCCAGACUCCUACGGGAGGCAGCAGUGGGGAAUUUUGGACAAUGGGCGAAAGCCUGAUCCAGCAAUGCCGCGUGUGUGAAGAAGGCCUUCGGGUUGUAAAGCACUUUUGUCCGGAAAGAAAUCCUUGACUCUAAUACAGUCGGGGGAUGACGGUACCGGAAGAAUAAGCACCGGCUAACUACGUG
rnacentral:rRNA from 1 species